rnacentral:sRNA from 1 species
AGAUGCCACUCCCUUCUUGUGAGAAGUAGGAGUAGGGCUGAGAAAGGAUUUAGCCUUCCUUCUAGCCUUAAUUUUUCCAGUGGAAACCUAGAUCCUCCUCUCCCCACUACCACCUCCUAGGCGACCUUACCCGCCUGCAGAUGUCUUCAACAGUAGAGAGUCCUAGUGAGCCUGGGGCCCCAUCUAGUGCCAUACCCCACUUUGAUGGUCCUGUUAAUGCCCUCCCACAUUGUAGUUAGGGUUUAGCUGAGAAGUGGGGUAUAAGGCAGACCCCCUGUGCUGAGGAUUGAUCCGGGGCCUGGGAGGAAGCAGAUUCCUUUACCACAUUUCGUUGUUCCCUCUGGCUUGUGGGGGCACGGCUGUGCUCCAUGUGGCAAGGUGGAAGGCAUGGACGUGUGGAGGAGGCGCUGGAGCUGAAGGAAUGGACGGGCCCUGGGAGGAGGGCAGAAGGCUACGCAGGGCUGAGGAUGAAGAUGCAGCCCCUGGAUGGUCCCAGACUCUCAGGACAUGCCCAGCUCAGGGGCUUCGAGCCACAGGCCUGGCCUCAUAUGGCAUGAGGGG